GGCUAAAUACUCCUGACUGACCGAUAGUGAACCAGUACCGUGAGGGAAAGGCGAAAAGAACCCCGGCGAGGGGAGUGAAAAAGAACCUGAAACCGUGUACGUACAAGCAGUGGGAGCACGCUUAGGCGUGUGACUGCGUACCUUUUGUAUAAUGGGUCAGCGACUUAUAUUCUGUAGCAAGGUUAACCGAAUAGGGGAGCCGAAGGGAAACCGAGUCUUAACUGGGCGUUAAGUUGCAGGGUAUAGACCCGAAACCCGGUGAUCUAGCCAUGGGCAGGUUGAAGGUUGGGUAACACUAACUGGAGGACCGAACCGACUAAUGUUGAAAAAUUAGCGGAUGACUUGUGGCUGGGGGUGAAAGGCCAAUCAAACCGGGAGAUAGCUGGUUCUCCCCGAAAGCUAUUUAGGUAGCGCCUCGUGAAUUCAUCUCCGGGGGUAGAGCACUGUUUCGGCAAGGGGGUCAUCCCGACUUACCAACCCGAUGCAAACUGCGAAUACCGGAGAAUGUUAUCACGGGAGACACACGGCGGGUGCUAACGUCCGUCGUGAAGAGGGAAACAACCCAGACCGCCAGCUAAGGUCCCAAAGUCAUGGUUAAGUGGGAAACGAUGUGGGAAGGCCCAGACAGCCAGGAUGUUGGCUUAGAAGCAGCCAUCAUUUAAAGAAAGCGUAAUAGCUCACUGGUCGAGUCGGCCUGCGCGGAAGAUGUAACGGGGCUAAACCAUGCACCGAAGCUGCGGCAGCGACGCUGAUGCGUUGUUGGGUAGGGGAGCGUUCUGUAAGCCUGCGAAGGUGUGCUGUGAGGCAUGCUGGAGGUAUCAGAAGUGCGAAUGCUGACAUAAGUAACGAUAAAGCGGGUGAAAAGCCCGCUCGCCGGAAGACCAAGGGUUCCUGUCCAACGUUAAUCGGGGCAGGGUGAGUCGACCCCUAAGGCGAGGCCGAAAGGCGUAGUCGAUGGGAAACAGGUUAAUAUUCCUGUACUUGGUGUUACUGCGAAGGGGGGACGGAGAAGGCUAUGUUGGCCGGGCGACGGUUGUCCCGGUUUAAGCGUGUAGGCUGGUUUUCCAGGCAAAUCCGGAAAAUCAAGGCUGAGGCGUGAUGACGAGGCACUGCGGUGCUGAAGCAACAAAUGCCCUGCUUCCAGGAAAAGCCUCUAAGCAUCAGGUAACAUCAAAUCGUACCCCAAACCGACACAGGUGGUCAGGUAGAGAAUACCAAGGCGCUUGAGAGAACUCGGGUGAAGGAACUAGGCAAAAUGGUGCCGUAACUUCGGGAGAAGGCACGCUGAUAUGUAGGUGAAGUCCCUCGCGGAUGGAGCUGAAAUCAGUCGAAGAUACCAGCUGGCUGCAACUGUUUAUUAAAAACACAGCACUGUGCAAACACGAAAGUGGACGUAUACGGUGUGACGCCUGCCCGGUGCCGGAAGGUUAAUUGAUGGGGUUAGCGCAAGCGAAGCUCUUGAUCGAAGCCCCGGUAAACGGCGGCCGUAACUAUAACGGUCCUAAGGUAGCGAAAUUCCUUGUCGGGUAAGUUCCGACCUGCACGAAUGGCGUAAUGAUGGCCAGGCUGUCUCCACCCGAGACUCAGUGAAAUUGAACUCGCUGUGAAGAUGCAGUGUACCCGCGGCAAGACGGAAAGACCCCGUGAACCUUUACUAUAGCUUGACACUGAACAUUGAGCCUUGAUGUGUAGGAUAGGUGGGAGGCUU
rnacentral:rRNA from 1 species